AGAGUUUGAUCAUGGCUCAGAAUCAACGCUGGCGGCGCGCUUAACACAUGCAAGUCGCACGAGAAAGUGGAGCAAUCCAUGAGUAAAGUGGCGUACGGGUGAGUAACACGUGGAUGAUCUACCUCUUGGUGGGGAAUAACCCUGGGAAACCGGGGCUAAUACCGCAUAAGCCUGCAAAGGGAAAGCAGCAAUGCGCCGAGAGAGGAGUCCGCGGCCGAUUAGCUAGUUGGUAGGGUAAUGGCCUACCAAGGCAAUGAUCGGUAGCCGGCCUGAGAGGGCACACGGCCACACUGGCACUGAAACACGGGCCAGACUCCUACGGGAGGCAGCAGUGGGGAAUCUUGCACAAUGGAGGAAACUCUGAUGCAGCGACGCCGCGUGAGCGAUGAAGCCCUUCGGGGUGUAAAGCUCUUUCGACGGGAACGAUAAUGACGGUACCCGAAGAAGAAGCUGCGGCUAACUACGUGCCAGCAGCCGCGGUAAUACGUAGGCAGCAAGCGUUGUUCGGAAUUACUGGGCGUAAAGAGUGUGUAGGCGGUUCUCUAAGUUCGGUGUGAAAUCUCCCGGCUUAACUGGGAGGGUGCGCCGAAAACUGGAGGGCUUGAGUAUGGGAGAGGAAAGCGGAAUUCCUGGUGUAGCGGUGAAAUGCGUAGAUAUCAGGAGGAACACCUGCGGUGUAGACGGCUUUCUGGACCAUCACUGACGCUGAGACACGAAAGCGUGGGUAGCAAACAGGAUUAGAUACCCUAGUAGUCC
rnacentral:rRNA from 1 species